rnacentral:rRNA from 1 species
CCCUUAGAUGUUCUGGGCCGCACGCGCGCUACACUGACGAAUGCAACGAGCUUAUAACCUUGGCCGAAAGGUCUGGGUAAUCUCCAAAUUUCGUCGUGAUGGGGAUAGAUUAUUGCAAUUAUUAAUCUUCAACGAGGAAUGCCUAGUAAGCGCGAGUCAUCAGCUUGCGUUGAUUACGUCCCUGCCCUUUGUACACACCGCCCGUCGCUCCUACCGAUUGAAUGGUCCGGUGAAGCGCUCGGACCGCGGCCUCUUGACGGUUUUCCGUCGAUUGGCUGUGGGAAGUUCGUUAAACCUUAUCAUUUAGAGGAAGGAGAAGUCGUANCA